AUUGAACGCUGGCGGCAUGCCUUACACAUGCAAGUCGAACGGUAACAGGUCUUCGGAUGCUGACGAGUGGUGAACGGGUGAGUAAUACAUCGGAACGUGCCUAGUAGUGGGGGAUAACUACUCGAAAGAGUGGCUAAUACCGCAUGAGAUCUACGGAUGGAAGCAGGGGAUCGCAAGACCUUGUGCUACUAGAGCGGCCGAUGGCAGAUUAGGUAGUUGGUGGGAUAAAAGCUUACCAAGCCGACGAUCUGUAGCUGGUCUGAGAGGACGAUCAGCCACACUGGGACUGAGACACGGCCCAGACUCCAACGGGAGGCAGCAGUGGGGAAUUUUGGACAAUGGGCGAAAGCCUGAUCCAGCAAUGCCGCGUGCAGGAUGAAGGCCUUCGGGUUGUAAACUGCUUUUGUACGGAACGAAAAGCCCCGGGUUAAUACCCUGGGGUCAUGACGGUACCGUAAGAAUAAGCACCGGCUAACUACGUGCCAGCCGCCGCCGUAA
rnacentral:rRNA from 1 species